rnacentral:rRNA from 1 species
GAUGAACGCUGGCGGCGUGCUUAACACAUGCAAGUCGAACGAUUAAGACCCCUUCGGGGGUGUAUAGAGUGGCGAACGGGUGAGUAACACGUGGGCAAUCUGCCCCUCACUUCGGGAUAACUCAGGGAAACUUGAGCUAAUACCGAAUACUUCGGAAUGGUCGCAUGGCCGCUCGGAGAAAGCUCCGGCGGUGGAGGAUGAGCCCGCGGCCCAUUAGCUUGUUGGCGGGGUAAUGGCCCACCAAGGCGACGAUGGGUAGCCGAGCUGAGAGGCUGAUCGGCCACACUGGGACUGAGACACGGCCCAGACUCCUACGGGAGGCAGCAGUGGGGAAUCUUGCGCAAUGGGCGAAAGCCUGACGCAGCAACGCCGCGUGCGGGAUGAAGGCUCUCGGGUCGUAAACCGCUUUCAGCAGGGAUGAAACUGACAGUACCUGCAGAAGAAGCCCCGGCUAAAUACGUGCCAGCAGCCGCGGUAACAC